GAGGGCAUAGCUCAGUGGUAGAGUGCUUGCCUAGCAUGCAUGAGGUCCUGGGUUCAAUCCCCAGUUCCUCCA
rnacentral:tRNA from 1 species